AACGAACGCUGGCGGUGUGCCUCAUACAUGCAAGUCGUACGCGAAUCCUGCCGCAAGGCAGGGUUUGAGUGGCAAACGGGUGCGUAACACGUAGGUAAUCUUCCUUUGAGUUGGGGAUAAGCCCUCGAAAGGGGGUCUAAUACCGAAUAACACUUCGGGUCGGCAUCGGCCUGAAAAUUAAAGAUGGCCUCUGCUUGCAAGCUAUCGCUCGGAGAUGAGCCUGCGGCCGAUUAGUUAGUUGGCGGGAUAAAAGCCCACAAGACUUCGAUCGGUAGCCGGUCUGAGAGGAUGUCCGGCCACACUGGGACUGAGAUACGGGCCAGACUCCUACGGGAGGCAGCAGUAGGGAAUAUU
rnacentral:rRNA from 1 species